UCCCCACAGGGUAUGCAGCUGCUUUCAGCUCCCUGCCCACCCCCUUGGCACCCCCAGGGGCCUGGGCCCUUCCAGGGGCAGCUGCCCCGUGCAGGAAGCUGGAGGGAUGCCGGGGAAGGUGGCUGGAUGGGUGCCGCAGGCGGGAUGGACUCUGUGCCAGGGCUGGGCUUGUGGCCAGGGCUGGGGGCUGUGCCCAGCCGGGCUUUGCCCCGGGGGCUCUCGGGGAGGGGGCAGGGAGGAGUCCCGGCAGGGAUAAAUGUGCUCCUGCCCUUGUGCAGCCUCAGCCAGCGCUGCCCAGGCCCAGAGGAAGAUGAAGGUCGCUGUGCUCAGCGUGGCCCUGCUCUUCACCAUCCUGCUGAGCCCCCCGGCAGAUGCCAAGCCCUUUCAGGCCAGCGGCGAUGCCUGUGGGGGGGGAAUCCUGACCGGCCCAAUCGGGGGAAUAGCAGGAGGUGGAUGUAUUGGGGUAAG